rnacentral:rRNA from 1 species
UACGUAGGGUGCAAGCGUUGUCCGGAUUUAUUGGGCGUAAAGAGCUCGUAGGCGGUCUGUUGCGUCGAUUGUGAAAACCCGGGGCUCAACCCCGGGCCUGCAGUCGAUACGGGCAGACUAGAGUUCGGCAGGGGAGACUGGAAUUCCUGGUGUAGCGGUGAAAUGCGCAGAUAUCAGGAGGAACACCGGUGGCGAAGGCGGGUCUCUGGGCCGAUACUGACGCUGAGGAGCGAAAGCGUGGGGAGCGAACAGG